rnacentral:rRNA from 1 species
CUUACAGAUGGACCCGCGGCGCAUUAGCUAGUUGGUGAGGUAACGGCUCACCAAGGCAACGAUGCGUAGCCGACCUGAGAGGGUGAUCGGCCACACUGGGACUGAGACACGGCCCAGACUCCUACGGGAGGCAGCAGUAGGGAAUCUUCCGCAAUGGACGAAAGUCUGACGGAGCAACGCCGCGUGAGUGAUGAAGGUUUUCGGAUCGUAAAGCUCUGUUGUUAGGGAAGAACAAGUGCCGUUCGAAUAGGGCGGCAC